rnacentral:rRNA from 1 species
UACGUAGGGGGCUAGCGUUGUCCGGAUUUAUUGGGCGUAAAGAGCGUGUAGGCGGCCAUGUAGGUCCGGUGUGAAAACUCGAGGCUUAACCUCGAGAUGUCAUCGGAAACCAUUUGGCUAGAGUCCGGAAGAGGAGAGUGGAAUUCCUGGUGUAGCGGUGAAAUGCGCAGAUAUCGGGAAGAACACCAGUGGCGAAGGCGGCUCACUGGCCCGGUACUGACGCUGAGGCGCGAAAGCGUGGGGAGCAAACAGG